rnacentral:snoRNA from 1 species
CCUGUUGAAGAAGAAGAGAUGAUCAUGCACAUCAUUGCCGGCCUUGGCGAGGGCUACAGCGAGGUCAUCUCAGCAAUGAGUGCGCGCCCCGAACCAAUGACCAUGGGAGAAUUAUACUCUCAGAUUGUUAACUUCGAGG